CAUCUCCCUCCUUUACCGGCGGAGAUACCUCGCCGUCGUUAGCCGAAGUACUAAUUCAACAAAUCUAUGUGGUACGAUUCGUAUACAGGCGAUUUUGGGAUUCCACUUGUAUUGAUACUUUUCUUUGGGAGCUGAUGAGAAGCAACGGCUGAUGAGAAGCAAUGUCAUCUCUCGCAAAUGCAGCGAAGCCUCUCAAUGGAGAGAAGCGAGAAAAAGAGAGAGAGAAAGAUUCGAGCUUUCGUCUGCAUUGGAGAUUCUUGUUUCUGCUAUUAGAAGGUCUGUGAUUGGUGGCUGUGUUGAUGAAGAGGAUCUUUGUUCUAUGGAGAUUGUUGUUCCCACUGAUGUUAGACAUGUCACCUUUGAUCGUUUCCAUGGCUUCCUUGGCUUGCCUGUUGAGUUUGAACCUGAAGUCCCCAGACGAGCUCCUAGUGCAAGGUUGAAGGAAUUUUCAGGAUUAAUGGUGAGAAUGCUCAAGAGGAGUACAUAAGAGAAGAGUUGAAUAAAGGUGUUAUACCUGAUAACAUCGAUGUCCACUGCCUAGCAAGUCUCAUUAAGGGACUUCCGAGUGGUGUUCUGGAUUCACUCUCACCAGAGCAAGUAAUGGAGUUUGAGAGAGUGUGUGGACCUUGUAAAGAUUCUUCCUUCAAUUUGAAGAUUCUUUGUUAGAUUGGGCUAUCAAUCUAAUGGCUGAUGUUGUGGAGAUGGAACAACUAAACAAGAUGAAUGCUCGCAACAUUGCAAUGGUUUUUGCACCUAACAUGACUCAGAUGUUGGAUCCAUUGACGGCUCUCAGUUUUGAACUUUCCUAAAACACUUAUUGUGAAGACGCUUAAAGACCGGAAAGAAUCUCGAGAUAGGUUGGUUCCUGCCUCAAAUCCAAGUCCUCGUUACCAUAAUGGUGAUCAGAGCAGCAGAGACAACUGUUCCAUCUCAUGAAAGCU